rnacentral:rRNA from 1 species
CCUACGGGUGGCAGCAGUGAGGAAUAUUGGUCAAUGGGCGCGAGCCUGAACCAGCCAAGUCGCGUGAGGGAAGACGGUUUUAUGGAUUGUAAGCCCUUUCUGCCGGGGAGAAAAAGUCGCCAUGCGUGGCGUUCCGAGAGUACCCGAAGAAAAAGCAUCGGCCACCUCCGUGCCAGCAGUCGCGGCAAUACGGAGGAUGCGUGCGUUAUCCGGCUUUAUGGGGUUAAAGGGGAGCGCAGGCGGAAGAUCAAGUUCGCGGGAAAAUUGCGAGGCUAAACCGCUUCGAGCCGUUGAAACUGGUGUGCUUGAGUGAGCGAGAGGUAUGCGGAAGGCGUGGUGUAGCGGUGAAAUGCAUAGAUAUCACGCAGAACUCCGAUUGCGAAGGCAGCAUACCGGCGCUCAACUGACGCUCAUGCACGAAAGUGUGGGUAUCGAACAGGAUUAGAUACCCUAGUAGUC